GACGAACGCUGGCGGCGUGCUUAACACAUGCAAGUCGAACGGAAAGGCCCUGCUUUUGUGGGGUGCUCGAGUGGCGAACGGGUGAGUAACACGUGAGUAACCUGCCCUUGACUUUGGGAUAACUUCAGGAAACUGGGGCUAAUACCGGAUAGGAGCUCCUGCUGCAUGGUGGGGGUUGGAAAGUUUCGGCGGUUGGGGAUGGACUCGCGGCUUAUCAGCUUGUUGGUGGGGUAGUGGCUUACCAAGGCUUUGACGGGUAGCCGGCCUGAGAGGGUGACCGGCCACAGUGGGACUGAGAUACGGCCCAGACGCCUACGGGAGGCAGCAGUGGGGAAUAUUGCACAAUGGGCGGAAGCCUGAUGCAGCAACGCCGCGUGCGGGAUGACGGCCUUCGGGUUGUAAACCGCUUUCGCCUGUGACGAAGCGUGAGUGACGGUAAUGGGUAAAGAAGCACCGGCUAACUACGUG
rnacentral:rRNA from 1 species